GAUGAACGCUGGCGGCGUUCCUAAUACAUGCAAGUCGAGCGAACAGACGAGGAGCUUGCUCCUCUGACGUUAGCGGCGGACGGGUGAGUAACACGUGGAUAACCUACCUAUAAGACUGGGAUAACUUCGGGAAACCGGAGCUAAUACCGGAUAAUAUAUUGAACCGCAUGGUUCAAUAGUGAAAGACGGUUUUGCUGUCACUUAUAGAUGGAUCCGCGCCGCAUUAGCUAGUUGGUAAGGUAACGGCUUACCAAGGCGACGAUGCGUAGCCGACCUGAGAGGGUGAUCGGCCACACUGGAACUGAGACACGGUCCAGACUCCUACGGGAGGCAGCAGUAGGGAAUCUUCCGCAAUGGGCGAAAGCUUGACGGAGCAACGCCGCGUGAGUGAUGAAGGUCUUCGGAUCGUAAAACUCUGUUAUUAGGGAAGAACAAAUGUGUAAGUAACUAUGCACGUCUUGACGGUACCUAAUCAGAAAGCCACGGCUAACUACGUG
rnacentral:rRNA from 1 species